rnacentral:rRNA from 1 species
AUAUGCGGCGCCACAUCAUGUUGGGUGCAUCGGUUCUCGUCCGUUCACCGAUGUUAAGCAACGACAAGCCUAGUUAGGACUUAGACGAGUGAACUUUUGGGAACCCUAGGUGUUGUAAGUA